rnacentral:rRNA from 1 species
AGCGAACGCUGGCGGCAGGCUUAACACAUGCAAGUCGAGCGGGCGUAGCAAUACGUCAGCGGCAGACGGGUGAGUAACGCGUGGGAACAUACCUUUUGGUUCGGAACAACACAGGGAAACUUGUGCUAAUACCGGAUAAGCCCUUACGGGGAAAGAUUUACCGCCGAAAGAUUGGCCCGCGUCUGAUUAGCUAGUUGGUGAGGUAACGGCUCACCAAGGCGACGAUCAGUAGCNGGUCUGAGAGGAUGAUCAGCCACAUUGGGACUGAGACACGGCCCAAACUCCUACGGGAGGCAGCAGUGGGGAAUAUUGGACAAUGGGCGAAAGCCUGAUCCAGCCAUGCCGCGUGAGUGAUGAAGGCCCUAGGGUUGUAAAGCUCUUUGUGCGGGAAGAUAAUGACGGUACCGCAAGAAUAAGCCCCGGCUAACUUCGUGCCAGCCGCCGCUGUAAC